GAAAGUGCCUGGUUAUAGUGCAGUAGAAGAGAAUGGGAAGCACCAAGCUUUUCUAAUGAAAGACAAGAGCCAUUAUCAAUAUGAAUACAGCUUGCAAAUAUUGGGUAUUCUGAAUGAUGAGAUGAGAGCUAUCAGAAGUGUCCCAGAAACUGGGUUGGUGCAUCAUAACAUUGAAGAAGAUUGAAGACAUUUUUUUGUGCAAUCACUUUGAGAUCCUUGUAGCAGAAAGCCCAAAUUUCCAAUCACAUGAUCGGACGCUUCUUAUGGAGCUUUGGACAUUAUAUCCCCGUCCUUGAACCCUAGCAGGUUCUAGCAGUUCCUGAUUUAGUUCUACAUGCAUAUGUUGUCAAUAAGAUAUUUGACACUGUUGAUCUCCAAAUCUGCCUCCCAUGUUACAGGAGUCUGCUGAGGACAGUGGAUACCUUUGGAACUGGAAAACUCGGUCACAGCCAGAUGUUCGUUCAUUUGAGUGGAACUUUUAUGUGGGUGGAGAAAGAAAGCAACGCCUGGGAAAUGAAAAUAAGUCCAUGCAAAUGAAAGGCAUUUACUUCUUCACUGCCAUGCGAUAUGGGCCAGCUUUCCAUCUGAAAACUGAGGCUUUGAUGUUUGUCCUGGAAUUAUCUUGCUGUCUGACACUGAUCAAGAAUAUGUAGCCAGGUAGACCGUGGAGACAGAUUGAUGUGCCUGCUGGUUCUGUAUCCCCAUUCAAAACCUGUAGGAUGUGGUAGAAUAGAUUGCUGUGAGUUGGGCUUGAAGGAGCGUUGUUUCCAAUUAUCUGGUAAUUAUAGCUUUGUGUAAUCCCAAGUUGUAGAAUAGAUUUUUCGGGAUUUUCUUGUUCUCUUGAUAACUAGGGCUGCACAACAUAGGUACAAAGUGGUUUCUUUUUUUUCUGUUGAAUUAUUGGGUAUUACAUGGGGACUUCCACUAUAAAGGAAAAAAAUUUGGUCAUCAGCUUCACUUUUUUCCAUGGUUUUGCUAGCCAAAGUCCACUGUUUGUAAUUGCAGAGACUUGGGCAC
rnacentral:misc_RNA from 1 species